ensembl:snRNA U1 U1 spliceosomal RNA
AUACUUACCUAUCAGGGCGAUGUCAUGAUUAAGAAGUUAAUUUUCCCAGGGUGAAGCCUAACCAUUGUUUUCCAGAUGUUCUGACCCUUGCGAUUUCCCCAUGUGGAAAACUCAACUACAUUAUUUAUGGUUGUGGGUGCUGUACUUGUGCUCUUCCUG